UACAGAGGGUGCGAGCGUUAAUCGGAAUUACUGGGCGUAAAGGGUGCGUAGGCGGUUUAAUGAGUCAGAUGUGAAAUCCCUGGGCUUAUCCUGGGAACUGCAUUUGAUACUGUUAAGCUAGAGUAUGGUAGAGGGAAGCGGAAUUUCCGGUGUAGCGGUGAAAUGCGUAGAUAUCGGAAGGAACACCAGUGGCGAAGGCGGCUUCCUGGACUAAUACUGACGCUGAGGCACGAAAGCAUGGGGAGCAAACAGG
rnacentral:rRNA from 1 species